ACGGGGGGUGCGAGCGUUGUCCGGAAUCACUGGGCGUAAAGGGCGCGUAGGCGGCCCUGCGUGUCUUCCGUGAAAUCCCUCGGCUCAACUGAGGACGUGCGGAAGAAACUGCGGGGCUCGAGUCCGGGAGAGGAGGGUGGAAUUCCCAGUGUAGCGGUGAAAUGCGUAGAUAUUGGGAGGAACACCGGUGGCGAAGGCGGCCCUCUGGACCGGUACUGACGCUGAUGCGCGAAAGCGUGGGGAGCAAACGGGA
rnacentral:rRNA from 1 species